CCUACGGGAGGCAGCAGUGGGGAAUAUUGGACAAUGGGCGCAAGCCUGAUCCAGCAAUGCCGCGUGGGUGAAGAAGGUUUUCGGAUUGUAAAGCCCUUUUGGCGGGGACGAUGAUGACGGUACCCGCAGAAUAAGCUCCGGCUAACUUCGUGCCAGCAGCCGCGGUAAUACGAAGGGGGCUAGCGUUGCUCGGAAUGACUGGGCGUAAAGGGCGCGUAGGCGGCUUGUACAGUCAGGCGUGAAAUUCCUGGGCUCAACCUGGGGACUGCGUCUGAUACGUGCUGGCUUGAGUAUGGAAGAGGGUCGUGGAAUUUCCAGUGUAGAGGUGAAAUUCGUAGAUAUUGGAAAGAACACCGGUGGCGAAGGCGGCGACCUGGUCCAUUACUGACGCUGAGGCGCGAAAGCGUGGGGAGCAAACAGGAUUAGAUACCCCUGGUAG
rnacentral:rRNA from 1 species